CUGGGACAUGGGAAAAUCAUCUAGGGAAGGAUACCUUUACUGGAUCAGCAGCCUUCAGUUGGAGGAACACAGCCAGCUCCUGGUGACCCCACAGGGAGAGAGCGGGAGCACUAAGGAUUCCAAACUCAGUCCUCCUGAUCUUCAUCAGUAUUCGUCAUUGGCCAAACAAAUAACUGAAAUUCAGAGGGCAAGAGAGCUCAUUGUUAUCUAAACAGGUCAGCAUGGCAGACAGCGAGGCGAAGAGGGAAGGAAGGUGGAUUUGGAAGAACAAACGGGAGUGACCUAGUGCAGCCCUGAUAAACCCGGAAACUUGGACCCAGAGACAUACUCAGAGGAAGAACGCUGUGUGAAGGCGGAGGCAGAGGUCAAGGGGAUUCAUCUAUGAGCCACAGACUGCCACAGACUGCCAGCCAACCCUCACCAGAGCCAGGAGAGAGGCACAGGGCAGAGUCUACCUCAUACCCCUCAGAAGGAGUCAACGGUGCUGAUACCUUGAUUUCUGACCUUUACCUUCAGAACUGUGAGACAAUAAAUUUCUAUUGUGUAAG
rnacentral:lncRNA from 10 species